rnacentral:rRNA from 1 species
CCUACGGGGGGCAGCAGUGGGGAAUAUUGGACAAUGGGGGGAACCCUGAUCCAGCCAUGCCGCGUGUGUGAAGAAGGCCCUCGGGUUGUAAAGCACUUUCAGUGAGGAAGAACGCCUGGUGGUUAAUACCCAUCAGGAAAGACAUCACUCACAGAAGAAGCACCGGCUAACUCCGUGCCAGCAGCCGCGGUAAUACGGAGGGUGCGAGCGUUAAUCGGAAUUACUGGGCGUAAAGCGCGCGUAGGUGGCUUGAUAAGCCGGUUGUGAAAGCCCCGGGCUCAACCUGGGAACGGCAUCCGGAACUGUCAAGCUAGAGUGCAGGAGAGGAAGGUAGAAUUCCCGGUGUAGCGGUGAAAUGCGUAGAGAUCGGGAGGAAUACCAGUGGCGAAGGCGGCCUUCUGGACUGACACUGACACUGAGGUGCGAAAGCGUGGGUAGCAGACAGGAUUAGAUACCCUGGUAGUC